AUUGAACGCUGGCGGCAUGCUUUACACAUGCAAGUCGAACGGUAACAGGCCUUCGGGCGCUGACGAGUGGCGAACGGGUGAGUAAUGCAUCGGAACGUGCCCAGUCGUGGGGGAUAACGCAGCGAAAGCUGUGCUAAUACCGCAUACGAUCUGUGGAUGAAAGCGGGGGACCUUCGGGCCUCGCGCGAUUGGAGCGGCCGAUGUCAGAUUAGGUAGGUGGUGGGGUAAAGGCCAACCAAGCCGACGAUCUGUAGCUGGUCUGAGAGGACGACCAGUCACACUGGGACUGAGACACGGCCCAGACUCCUACGGGAGGCAGCAGUGGGGAAUUUUGGACAAUGGGCGCAAGCCUGAUCCAGCAAUGCCGCGUGCAGGAAGAAGGCCUUCGGGUUGUAAACUGCUUUUGUACGGAGCGAAAAGGCUCCCUCUAAUACAGGGGGCUCAUGACGGUACCGUAAGAAUAAGCACCGGCUAACUACGUGCCAGCAGCCGCGGUAA
rnacentral:rRNA from 1 species